CCUACGGGAGGCAGCAGUGAGGAAUAUUGGUCAAUGGGCUUACGCCUGAACCAGCCAAGUCGCGUGAGGGAAGACUGCACUAUGGGUUGUAAACCUCUUUUGUCAGGGAGCAACGCCGGCUACGUGUAGCCGGACUGAGAGUACCUGAAGAAAAAGCAUCGGCUACCUCCGUGCCAGCAGCCGCGGUAAUACGGAGGAUGCGAGCGUUAUCCGGAUUUAUUGGGUUUAAAGGGUGCGUAGGCGGAAUGCCAAGUCAGCGGUAAAAGCGCGGGGCUCAACCUCGCUCCGCCGUUGAAACUGGCGUUCUUGAGUGGGCGAGAAGUAUGCGGAAUGCGUGGUGUAGCGGUGAAAUGCAUAGAUAUCACGCAGAACUCCGAUUGCGAAGGCAGCAUACCGGCGCCCAACUGACGCUGAAGCACGAAAGCGUGGGUAUCGAACAGGAUUAGAUACCCCAGUAGUC
rnacentral:rRNA from 1 species